GUCCCAUCAAUUCUGAAUCAUCUGAAGCAAGGAUCUGAUUGAAGCCUUUCUUCCAGCCCAGUAACUGCCCUCCUGCUGCAAGUUACUUCUCUUCGGUGUCUUCAAAAUGCCAAACUUCUACCUGGUGCAGGAGGAGCAGAAGAAAAGCCAUCAGACAUGAAAGGAACUUCCUACAAAUACAGCUCAACACAUUUUACAGCAACAGGAACCAGUUGUUGCCAGCUGUGGAUAAAUCAUCCCAGGAACUUUGUUCUCUUACAUCUGUCUACAGACAACCAGCUACAUUAAUUAAAAAAAAACAAAAAUUCUAUACUGCACGUACCAAUUACAUUUCUAAUAAAUAAUGAUACAAAUU